ensembl:lncRNA
AAUGCAAACAUUUAUAUCAAGCUAGACUUGUUUCACCGCAUGAGGCAGUUCCUCCGUGAGUGUGUGUCGGAGCAUCACGUCCUGUACAGUUCCUUUGCUCAGUUCCUCUGGACUGGGACAAGAACAACAGCAAGACAGAUCACACCCAGGCCCCGAAUCCACCUCCUCAGAGUGAUCCACUCGCUACGCAGUCGGAGGUUCCUCUGUCAUCCUCACUGGCACCAUCAAGGUUGUUCCAGUUUUCUCCAUGCCCCCCUGCCGAUUCUGCUGUGAAACCAGAUGUGAGUCCCAGAACAACCCCAGGGCCUCGGGGAGAGCCAGAAACUUCACGUCCGCCGUCGCUGGCAGUUAUCGACCAGCUGCUCAACAAACACCGUGAGCAGAAAGACAUGCUGAAGCUUGUGGACCAGGACUACGCUGCUCUAGUUCACAACUCCUGCACAAACCCCAACAGCAUGCUCCACCCGACAGCAAAACUACAUAUCGUACAAUAUGUAAAGCACCUCAGCAAAUUGUUGAACACCAGUUCCUCUUUAAACGUCAGUCCAGAAAAACUGCAAGAGAGGCUGAAACUCUGGUCGCAAGUGUCGGUUCUGUAAGACGGAACUGAAGCAGGGCCCAAACAGUCGUCACAUUCACACUGGGUUCCCUGGAGUUACAGGGAAGUACAUUUUCUGCCCCACUAAAAUCUUUUCACUAUGCAAAGACCAGGGCAUGGACAAGGAAAUGACAUGGAGAGAGUUCCAGGGGUCUGCUUUCUUUGACAAAUUAAAAUAGAGAUGGGAGGCUGAAAUGAGGAAAGAAGAGAAAUAAUAGGGGGAGUUCCAUCUAGCAUUUUACGUCCAAUUAUUUGUAAUAUUCAUGUUGUAAUUAGUUUAUAUAUUGGUUUCUUGCUUUUGUGACUUUGUACAUUAAAAUAUUAUCUUUUUAUUUAUUCUUUAUAUUUGGUUUUAUGGUUCAUUAGUUUACUUAUUUAGAUGUCUUUAUUUCUGUAACAUUUCUGUUUGUAUAGGACUAUACAAAUCUGUUGAUCUAUCUGUGUUCAACAUUUACUGUCCAAGUUAAUAAAUAUAUUUCAAUUGCUAAUGUUUACAUGUGUCAUCAAUGAGUGAAUCACUGUAGUGAACAGUAAAAUAAGUUGGUCUGUAAGUACAAUCUAGUGAUAACCCGUAGACAGCAGAUUGGGGUAAACAUUUCCUUUAUUUGUUAUUUGAGAUGGAUGAGGUAGGAUGGAGUAGGAGGUGAAGGAAGGUGUACUCACUGGUGUCCAGUCUCAGGCACGUUGAUGUUGACGUCCUGGAUGGUCUCCUUUUUCCUCUCUUCUCUCUCCUAUUUCUUUGUCUCCUUGUCCUGCAUCUUGCGCCUCAUUUUGUCCAUCUCCGUCUGCCGGUCUUGCAUCCGUCUCCCAAAAAUUUCUUUUUUUAAGUCGAGGCAGAUGUUUUCAAGGACUGUUUUGUCAUCCUCUAAUUCUUGGAUCCUCGUGAUAAGGAUCCGAUGUUCUUUGGGGAUGGUAUUCUCCGUUUGUUGGAUCUUAGAGAUCAGGCACAAGUCAGUGAAACCACUGCUCGUGACCGUCUCGUGGUGGGUCUCCUCUUGGCUCUUUUUUAAAGCAGCCAGAGAAUCCCUCUGGGUCUUCAGCAGUUUGUGUUCUGCUUCCAACUGCUGCCAGGUCUCGUUGUUGACCCUGAGUUCAGCACUUUUGACAGAAAGUUUUUUUGUUGUCUCUGUGAGCUUCAGAGAUAAACCCUCGUUCUGCCUGAUAGUCUCAUCCAGAGCCUCUGUCUUGAUCUUUAGCAGUUUGUGUUCUUCUUCCAACUGGUGGUUGUUGGACUGCUGCUUGUGCAGCUCCUCUUGAA